rnacentral:rRNA from 1 species
CAGUCGCCGCGGGAAUACGAAGGGUGCAAGCGUUAAUCGGAAUUACUGGGCGUAAAGCGUGCGUAGGCGGUGAGUUAAGUCUGCUGUGAAAUCCCCGGGCUCAACCUGGGAAUGGCAGUGGAUACUGGCUCGCUAGAGUGUGUCAGAGGAUGGUGGAAUUCCCGGUGUAGCGGUGAAAUGCGUAGAUAUCAAGAGGAACACCGGUGGCGAAGGCGGCUUCCUGGAAGAUACCUGACUCUGAAACACGAAAGCCAGGGGAGCGAAUGGGAUUAGAGACCCGCGUAGUCCCUGUCUCUUAUAC